GUGGCAGCCGCCGCGGUAAUACCGGCGCCCCAAGUGGUAGUCGCUUUUAUUGGGCCUAAAAUGUCCGUAGCCGGUCUGGUACAUUCGUGGGUAAAUCAACCAGCUCAACUGGUUGAAUUCUGCGAGCACGGCCAGACUUGGGACCGGGAGAGGUGUGGGGUACUCUCAGGGUAGGGGUAAAAUCCUGUCAUCCUGAGAGGACCACCUGUUGCGAAGGCGCCACACUAGAACGGAUCCGACGGUCAGGGACGAAGCCUAGGGGCACGAACCGGAUUAGAUACCCGGGUAGUCCUAGGUGUGAACGCUGUGGACUUGAUGUUGGGGGCGCUCCGAGCGCACUCAGUGUCGAAGCGAAGGUGAUAAGUCCACUGCCUGGGGAGUACGGUCGCAAGGCUGAAACUUAAAGGAAUUGGCGGGGGAGCACCGCAACCUGAGGAUUGUGCGGUUUAAUUGGAUUCAACGCCGGAAAACUCACCAUAGCCGACGGACAUAUGAAGGCCAGCGUAACGAGCUUGCCGGAUUGUUCGAGAGGUAGUGCAUGGCCGUCGUCAGUUCGUACCGCAAGGCGUUCUGUUAAGUCAGAUAACGAACGAGACCCUCAUCCCUAUUUGCUAACCCGAUCUCCGGAUCAGGCGCACUAUAGGGAGACCGCUGGCGCGAAGUCAGAGGAAGGCGAGGGCAACGGUAGGUCAGUAUGCUCCGAAUGCUAUGGGCUACACGCGCAAUACAAAGGACGGGACAAUGGGCUGCUGCUCCGAAAGGAACGAUGGCUAUCCCGAAACCCGUUCGUAGUUCGGAUUGAGGGCUGUAACUCGCCCUCAUGAAGCUGGAUUAGGUAGUAAUCGCGUCUCAAAAAGGCGCGGUGAAUAUGCCCCUGCUCCUUGCACACACCGCCCGUC
rnacentral:rRNA from 1 species